rnacentral:tRNA from 1 species
GACCGCGUAGCUCCGUUGGCAGAGCAUUGGGCUAGUAUUCCAAAGGUCGUAGGUUCGAUUCCCACCGUGGCCA